rnacentral:rRNA from 1 species
UGAUACGGGGGGAGCAAGCGUUGUUCGGAAUUACUGGGCGUAAAGGGUGCGCAGGCGGGAGAUUAGGUCGGAUGUGAAACCUUCGGGCUCAACCCGGAGCCUGUAUUCGAAACCAGUCUUCUUGAGUAUCGGAGAGGGAAGCGGAACUUCAGGUGUAGCGGUGAAAUGCGUAGAUAUCUGGAGGAACACCGGUGGCGAAGGCGGCUUCCUGGCCGAAUACUGACGCUCAGGCACGAAGGCUAGGGGAGCAAACAGGAUUAGAUACCCUGGUAGUCCUAGCGGUAAACGAUGGGCACUAGGUAUCGGGGGUAUCGACCCCCUCGGUGCCGCAGCUAACGCAUUAAGUGCCCCGCCUGGGGAGUACGACCGCAAGGUUG